AACGAACGCUGGCGGCAGGCUUAACACAUGCAAGUCGAGCGAGACCUUCGGGUCUAGCGGCGGACGGGUGAGUAACGCGUGGGAACGUGCCCUUCUCUACGGAAUAGCCCCGGGAAACUGGGAGUAAUACCGUAUACGUCCUUUGGGGGAAAGAUUUAUCGGAGAAGGAUCGGCCCGCGUUGGAUUAGGUAGUUGGUGGGGUAAUGGCCCACCAAGCCGACGAUCCAUAGCUGGUUUGAGAGGAUGAUCAGCCACACUGGGACUGAGACACGGCCCAGACUCCUACGGGAGGCAGCAGUGGGGAAUCUUAGACAAUGGGGGCAACCCUGAUCUAGCCAUGCCGCGUGAGUGAUGAAGGCCUUAGGGUUGUAAAGCUCUUUCAGCUGGGAAGAUAAUGACGGUACCAGCAGAAGAAGCCCCGGCUAACUCCGUG
rnacentral:rRNA from 1 species